rnacentral:rRNA from 1 species
CAAUAGCGUAUAUUUAAGUUGUUGCAGUUAAAAAGCUCGUAGUUGGAUUUCGGUUAAGAGCGACCGGUCCGCCGUUUGGUGUGCACUGGUUGGUUUUAACUUCCUGUAGAGGACGUGCUCUGGGUUUAACGACCUGGACUCGGAGUCUACGUGGUUACUUUGAAAAAAUUAGAGUGUUCAAAGCGGGCUUACGCUUGAAUAUUUCAGCAUGGAAUAACACUAUAGGACUCCUGUCCUAUUUCGUUGGUCUCGGGACGGGAGUAAUGAUUAAGAGGAACAGUUGGGGGCAUUCGUAUUUCAUUGUCAGAGGUGAAAUUCUUGGAUUUAUGAAAGACGAACUUCUGCGAAAGCAUUUGCCAAGGAUGUUUNCAUUGA